rnacentral:rRNA from 1 species
GAUGAACGCUGGCGGCGUGCCUAAUACAUGCAAGUCGAGCCAACAGACGAGGAGCUUGCUCCUCUGACGUUAGCGGCGGACGGGUGAGUAACACGUGGAUAACCUACCUAUAAGACUGGGAUAACUUCGGGAAACCGGAGCUAAUACCGGAUAAUAUAUUGAACCGCAUGGUUCAAUAGUGAAAGACGGUUUUGCUGUCACUUAUAGAUGGAUCCGCGCCGCAUUAGCUAGUUGGUAAGGUAACGGCUUACCAAGGCAACGAUGCGUAGCCGACCUGAGAGGGUGAUCGGCCACACUGGAACUGAGACACGGUCCAGACUCCUACGGGAGGCAGCAGUAGGGAAUCUUCCGCAAUGGGCGAAAGCUUGACGGAGCAACGCCGCGUGAGUGAUGAAGGUCUUCGGAUCGUAAAACUCUGUUAUUAGGGAAGAACAAAUGUGUAAGUAACUAUGCACGUCUUGACGGUACCUAAUCAGAAAGCCACGGCUAACUACGUG